GACUCCUUGGUCCGGUUUAUACCAUCAUUGAGUUGUUUCGUAUUUGGUGAGCCUCUCCUCUGUAGGGUCUCCUUGAUACAACGAUGGGAUCUGGCGUCCACUAAGGUGGAAAAGACAACCUGCUCAGCGUUGGGUUGCUGCUGCCGAAAGAUGUAGUGAUUCCGGGCCUUCCAGAUAUACCAAAGGAUUGACGUAGUUGUCGCCAGGUCUGGUCAGACAAAACAACCUUAUCCAAAUGGCCAUGAGGUUGAUUAGUCAGGAUUUGGAGCUGGUUGUUAAGGAAACUUAUCUGGUGUUUGGCAUUAAUAAAUUUGGAUCGACUCCAACGUGAUAAAGCGGCAGAGAUAGCUUGUAAUUUUUGGUGGAGCGUCAUGUCUCCAAGUUGGGAAGAUGCCCAAGAAGCAGCUAUUGUGGAGCGACACUCCAUAUCUUGAAGCCAGUAAGCUUCGAAGUAGAAAGAUCUUUGUUGUUUACAACGCUGUGUUGCUUCAGUAGACAAGAGAAGUGGGCUGUGGUCAGAUCCAAGAGCUGGUAAAGCCAACACUUCAGCAAGAAGCCUUUCUUUCCCAGGUCCAUGAGAUGACAAUCAUUGAGGAGAUCACGAAAAGAAAGCAUACGAUGAGUCUCGGCAGGACACUUCCCUACUUUCUCCCAUGGGUACAAAACUUCAUUAAAAUCGCACGUUACAGCCAAGGUAAGACGCAUUGUGAUGCCGUAAUCCCGGUCAGUACAGAUGAAGUCAAGGAUAGCCGAAGAGUGAGAGGUCACCAUCAAUGACACUCGAUCAUUCCAAAAAAUUGCCAAACCUCCAGCCAAACCUAUUGGAUUUUCUAUGAAACUUGCUGAGAAACUGAGUUUCCGUUGAAGGUAGAUGAGUUUCUUUUCCUGAUUUUUCGUUUCCAUCAAAAACAAAACAUCGGGCCGUUCCUGAGUCACUAAGACCAGUAGAGCUUGAACUAUCAGGGGAUUGCCCAACCCCUGACAGUUCCAACUAACUACUCUCAUUGUCCACCUGGUGGCUUUUUAGGGCCAGCCACCAAGGCCCAACAUGCAGGAGCAUCUGCCUCAAUAAUAGGAGUCUCUUGCAAAACAGAUUCAUCAAACUCCUCCUGGAGGUGAGGCCGAACAUCAUGAGCAGUGAGUCUUUUUGCUUUCUUAAUAGGGCUGAUCUUGCAUUCAAACGUGAGUGUUUAACCUUUUUUGACUGGAUAGAACCUGGUGAGACUUUGUUAAUCUUUAAAUGCUGCUGGAUGAUAGGAAAUUUGUCAUGUUCAUUCUUACUUCUGGAUGCUUCCUCCACCAUGGGUUGCCAUUGAAGUGGUUUGGCAGUUGUGAUAAUUUGAUUACAGUCAGGAGCCUCCAUAGGUUGUUUGCCUCUGUUUGUUUGAACUUGGACCUCAGGUACAGCAGGAGGAGAAUCCUAAACGGGGAAUAGUGCCAAGGGAGGUUGAGGGGUCUCUAGGAUUGUCUCAUCAGCAUCAUCUUGGGGAUGAUUCACGUCAUAAAAGCGUUCUAGUGGCAAGCCAAAAACUUGCACCCAAAACUCACAUGUGGUAAAAUCAUAGCAAUGCAACGGUGUGUUCACUUUACAAGGUUUCAAUAUCACCAGAUGAUUGGCGAAUAACCAAGGGGCCACUUCCUCCCAUACUUGAACUGGCUGUUCCGACCACAGGCGACCCAGGCGAUUGCAUAGGGCAGACAGACGAACCUCAUCUCCAGCAACCUUGCGGUCCAUUUCAAAAACAAAAUGGAACAAUCAAACAAAGAAAGACCCAGAAUCGCAAAGGAGAAACACCAUAGCGUAAUCCCCUUGCUCAGCGACCAGACGUGAAGGAAAUGGGUAAGCCAAGAAGAGGGCUUCCGGCAUGCAAGUCGAUUGUGGCAUGCAAACCAGAAGAAAGACGUAGCAAGGGGCGGAGAAGCAGGGGAUAGAAAGAGUAGGUCAGAUGGGUGUUGUGGAAGUUCACGGAGGGAAGCUGCAAAAGUCGCAACUCUAGGGGAAAGAAAACCAGUUUUGGAAGCUUCGUGAGAUGAUAUGGUGACUGGAAAGACUGGUGAAGAAACUACCAUGGAGGUAGAAGAAACUCUACAUUUUGUAGAGAGCACACAAAGCGUUAGUUAAAGUGUAGGAAUUUGUGCAUUUUUUGUACUAUGAUGAGCAUGCGUAAUUCAUAUGAUUGGUAGAAUGUAAUUGAUACGCUUCAUGGAGUUUCAUAUUGUUCAAAAGUCUUUUAAUUUGAGAUAAGGCCUUGCUAGUCUGCAAGAGCAACCGAAAA